CGGGGCCUGAGCUGCAGCAUAAGUUUCCUCUGAUUUUCAACCUGGAAGACGAUACCGCAGAAGCUGUGCCCCUAGAAAGAGGUGGUGCGGAGUACCAGGCUGUGCUGCCCGAGGUCAGAAAGGUUCUUGCAGACGUCCUCCAAGACAUUGCCAACGACAACAUCUCCAGCGCAGAUUACACUCAGGACCCUUCAGUAACUCCCUGCUGUAAUCCCUACCAAAUUGCCUGCCGCUGUCAAGCCGCAUAACAGACCAAUUUUUAUUCCACGAGGAGGAGUACCUGGAAAUUAGCUGGAAAAGAAGUGCCUGCUCUCAACUCAAGAACCAAUGGCAUCAUCAGUGGAAUUCAAAGGAAGUCCCAUGAUUCUAAAUGAUUCUCAUCUUGGUAUUUAAAGUAUUGCAUGUCAAACUUUAGGUAAGUUAACAGUGAUUUAUAAAAUGCAGUUCCCUCUGAGUUGAUUAAUGUCUCAGGUUACGCUUUCCGAUUUUCAAAAAUAGAAAGACAUCUUCUUUGUACAGCAAAUGCCCUAUGCUCCUACAAAAGGGAAGCAUUUAUACCACUUUUAUUAGCAUUUUCAAACAAGAAAGAGGUCUUGCUGGGGAAGAAACCAUGAACUGUUCAAUGAUCUGCAUUGCUGUGUGGUAUGGAACGCUCCCUCAAUAUCCCAUAAAAGGUGGUCAGCUCUGUGACCACCUCCUCCAUACUGGGAGGUCUGCAGUUGGCAGGACUUUCAUGGAGAUUUCCACCCUUGACUGCUCAGAGCAGACUGCUGUGCUAGCAGGAAAUUAACUUCGAGCCCCUGUCUGGCCAAGCUCUUUAAAGGAAACAGCCUGCAAUCUCUGACACAACAGGAACGGGCAUGACACAAACAGACAGAAAGAAGGAAAUUUACAGCUGCGUUAGAUACCAAGUGUGAGGCAACAGGCGAACUCUGUAUAGCUAAUUUACUUGUAGUUUAUGAAGUCAAAAUGCAUUCAGGAUUUGUGUGCUGAA
rnacentral:lncRNA from 1 species